rnacentral:misc_RNA from 1 species
GACCAAUAAGGACAUCUAUCACGUAAAAUUAAAUAAUAUAUUAAUAUAUAAAUAAUCUUUGAACUAUUCAUUGAUGUACCAAUAAAUCUUGCUAACCAACCAGAUAAGAUCAUGAAUAUGUUCAUUUCACUCAUUGAUAGAUGCCACAUGUUUUUUCAAAGUUUUUCUUUUGAUGCUCUUAACUAAAUACAUGUGUAAUCUGUUGUUCCCUCUCUGUCUUGCCCUCCCUUUUGGUAAUAUGAAUUGGUAUAAUAGUAAAUAAGAACAACUAUAAGACCAUUGUCAAUGACAGCCACUCUACUGACGGGUUUUAAAGCCAAAACUCUUGAAGCUUAGUGAUCAGUAAUAUUUUUUGAAUGCUGGCCAAGGGCCACCAGCAUUUAGGUUGAAAUAUUGUAACUUGGUCAAUCACACUGUAAUCGGUUUGCUAGAGUACCAAACAACAACUGCUUCUAGUCACCCAAUCAAACAAGCACUACAUAGUAUGCUUUCUGAAUAAACCUUGCCACCUGUCUAAAUGUUUAGAAUUUUGGUUUAGAAUCUUUUAGGUGUUGCUGUGGUCUAAUGUUCUUGAUUUUACCAGGUACAUAGAAGCUAGUAAAGCUCGACUUUACCACUCUGGAGGUGAUGCAGUUGCAAUAGUGGCACAGACAGUUCUAUCGUAUGUUUUUGAAAAUGUAUUGAAGUUGCUGCAUCCAUUCAUGCCAUUUGUUACUGAAGAACUGUGGCAGGCGCUACCCAAAAGGAAAGAA